rnacentral:miRNA from 1 species
CACAAAAACCUUAAUUUCAACAUA